AGAUUAAGUUAUUAAGGGCGCACGGUGGAUGCCUUGGCACUAGAAGCCGAUGAAGGACGUUACUAACGACGAUAUGCUUUGGGGAGCUGUAAGUAAGCUUUGAUCCAGAGAUUUCCGAAUGGGGAAACCCAGCAUGAGUUAUGUCAUGUUAUCGAUAUGUGAAUACAUAGCAUAUCAGAAGGCACACCCGGAGAACUGAAACAUCUUAGUACCCGGAGGAAGAGAAAGAAAAUUCGAUUCCCUUAGUAGCGGCGAGCGAAACGGGAAGAGCCCAAACCAACAAGCUUGCUUGUUGGGGUUGUAGGACACUCUAUACGGAGUUACAAAGGACGACAUUAGACGAAUCAUCUGGAAAGAUGAAUCAAAGAAGGUAAUAAUCCUGUAGUCGAAAAUGUUGUCUCUCUUGAGUGGAUCCUGAGUACGACGGAGCACGUGAAAUUCCGUCGGAAUCUGGGAGGACCAUCUCCUANAGGCUMAAUACUCUMUAKYGAMMGAUAGUGAACCAGUACCGUGAGG
rnacentral:rRNA from 1 species